UAUUGGUGGUAUCUUACCCAAAUUCUUAGGCUAAGAUUUGUGAAGAAAAGGCUCUUAUAUAAGAGCUUUUACUCUUAUAUUUAAGUUUUUUCUUCCCAAAUCUUAGAUUAAGAUUUGGCUAAGAUACCACUAAUA